AUACGGAGGGUGCAAGCGUUAUUCGGAAUCACUGGGCGUAAAGGACGCGUAGGCGGGUUGGCAAGUCAGAUGUGAAAUCCUACAGCUUAGCUGUAGAACUGCAUUUGAAACUGCUAACCUAGAGUAUGGGAGGGGGAGAUGGAAUUAGUGGUGUAGGGGUAAAAUCCGUAGAUAUCACUAGGAAUACCGAAAGCGAAGGCGAUCUCCUGGAACAUAACUGACGCUAAGGCGUGAAAGCGUGGGGAGCAAACAGGAUUAGAAACCCUAGUAGUCC
rnacentral:rRNA from 1 species